rnacentral:tRNA from 1 species
GCCGAGGUCGCAUAAUGGUGGUGCACUGGUCUUGAAAACCAGCGGCCGUAAGGUCAUGUGGGUUCGAAUCCCAUCCUCGGCG